ACCUUUCGGGUCUAGUGGCGCACGGGUGCGUAACGCGUGGGAAUCUGCCCUNUGGUNCGGAAUAACUCAGGGAAACUUGAGCUAAUACCGUAUAAUGACUUCGGUCCAAAGAUUUAUCGCCUAAGGAUGAGCCCGCGUCGGAUUAGCUAGUUGGUGAGGUAAAGGCUCACCAAGGCGACGAUCCGUAGCUGGUCUGAGAGGAUGAUCAGCCACACUGGGACUGAGACACGGCCCAGACUCCUACGGGAGGCAGCAGUGGGGAAUAUUGGACAAUGGGGGAAACCCUGAUCCAGCAAUGCCGAGUGAGUGAUGAAGGCCUUAGGGUUGUAAAGCUCUUUUACCCGGGAUGAUAAUUCCAGAAA
rnacentral:rRNA from 1 species